GCCUUUAACUGGAUGAGCACUUGUGUUGUGGCAUAGCUGGUUAGCACAGCUCUCUAGUCUGAGUUUUGCAUGCGCAGUGUCCCUUCCAGAUCCAGAAAACACCUGUGCAAGUUCUUCACAUCUGGACAAGACUCUCCAGAAACACAUUGACAGAGUCUGUAUAUGCAAAUCAUCUGGGGAGCCCUGGCCAAGAUCUCAGUUAUGGAAACAUUUUAAACAACUCCACCCAUCCUAUUAAUUCAAACAUUUAUAGAGACAUCUGAUUUUGAAUGGGAAAGAUGAAGAGAAGAUUGGAGAGCUCAGGUGAUGGUGUGAAGCAGGAAUCAAUCAGGCUUCGUUCUCUAUUGAGCCCAUAUCAUGCACUGGCCAGGGAUGGGAAUUGGUCAGAAAGGAGGCUGACCCAAAUCCAACAGCAGCAGUUGAAAAAUUUCUGGAGGCUUUAUCAAAUGGCCUCUACAGAGUCCAGCUUAAAAUUAAAAGCUCUGCUAGCAGAGGAAAUAUAUGUGACUUUAAUAACUGAAAUGUGUUUUUACUUUCUAUUACAGAGGUCAAAAGGGUUCCAAACAAACCAAAUUUAUCAAUUAUUUAGAGCUGAUUUCUUCUGAAGUGGUAUUUCUGAGAUAUUAUUUGGUGGGUAAAUUCAAUGUUCUAGGCCCACCAGCAGCAUUUUAUUCAUAACAAAUUUCCACUAAACUGAAUUUGCUGGGGCAACUUAAUUUCCACUAUCGUGUUUGUACUGUGAAAAUAUCAACUGAACUGUUACUAUGCCUAACUAGUGGGUUUUUCAAAGAGGAAAAUUUUGGCUUUGCGAGCUUGUUCAGCGUCCCUG
rnacentral:lncRNA from 1 species